AUGACUGCUGCCAAGCGCAUUGUCAGAUAUGUCAAAUAUACUCUGAAUAUUGGACUAAAUUUCAGCAAGUCACCUUCUACUCUUGUCAGUGCUUUUUCUGACUCAGAUUGGGCAGGAUGCUUGGAUGACAGACGCUCAACUGGUGGCUUUGUAGUAUUUUUUGGACCCAAUCUCAUAUCAUGGUGUGCCAGAAAACAGGCUACAGUCUCCAGGUCUAGUACUGAAGCAGAAUACAAGGCUUUGGCCAAUGCAACGGCAGAAAUUAUAUGGAUACAGUCUAUCUUAAAGGAGCUGGGUGUGAAAAGCUCUCAGGCUCCAUGCUUAUGGUGUGAUAACCUUGGUGCCACCUAUCAGUCUGCAAAUCCAGUGUUUCAUGUCAGAACAAAACACAUCGAGAUAGAUUUUCAUUUUGUCAGAGAAAGAGUGGCUGAUAAACUCUUGGACAUUCGCUUUAUCCAUUCACGGGAUCAAGUGGCAGAUGGGUUUACAAAAGCCCUGCCCGUAAGGAGUUUCGAAGACUUCAAGCAUAAUCUCAACUUAAUGAAGUUGUGA
rnacentral:rRNA from 1 species